UGGGGAAUAUUGCACAAUGGGCGCAAGCCUGAUGCAGCCAUGCCGCGUGUAUGAAGAAGGCCUUCGGGUUGUAAAGUACUUUCAGCGGGGAGGAAGGGAGUAAAGUUAAUACCUUUGCUCAUUGACGUUACCCGCAGAAGAAGCACCGGCUAACUCCGUGCCAGCAGCCGCGGUAAUACGGAGGGUGCAAGCGUUAAUCGGAAUUACUGGGCGUAAAGCGCACGCAGGCGGUUUGUUAAGUCAGAUGUGAAAUCCCCGGGCUCAACCUGGGAACUGCAUCUGAUACUGGCAAGCUUGAGUCUCGUAGAGGGGGGUAGAAUUCCAGGUGUAGCGGUGGAAUGCGCAGAUAUCAGGAGGAAUACCGGUGGCGAAGGCGGGUCUCUGGGCUGUUACUGACGCUGAGGAGCGAAAGCGUGGGGAGCGAACAGG
rnacentral:rRNA from 1 species